UACAGUUCUUGACUGGGAGGUAUUACUCUAUUUUCUUGUUGCAAUCAAUGGAGGCUCAAGGAGUGUAUAUUAGUGAUCUGUUAUCAUUUCAGACCUAUGUGUUUGUAUGUAAUGACAUUUUAAACUAGUUCUGCUAAUGAAUAUGCAAUAUAUUAUCAUGAAAGGCAUUACUCGGUACUUAAGAUACACGAAAAAAUCCAUGUAGAUAGCUUCCAACAACAUGGAAAUAUUGGCAUAACAAAAAAGUUUGUGGUCUGAACUCUAGAUCAAUUAUUGUUAACUUCUCUAUUUUCUGCUGCUCAAUUUUUUUUCCCUCUGCAGUGAGUGAAGUGAAAUUAGUAUCUGCCUUGGUUAUUCAUGUUUUAUUUCCUUCCCUUAGUUUGCGUCCAUUUGUGUAAUUCUGAGGUCAUAUUAAGCAAACUGCAAGUUUUUUGAUGGUACAAGAUGGAGGAGUUUGCUGUCAUGGAAUGUAAUGUGGGAUUAAAUAUGUAUGCAACCAUGAGUUUCACUGAGAAAAUUUGGUGAAGGUUUUGGAUUUUGUAGGGAUCCAUGUGAAUGCAACUUUCAGCAAAUUUAUGUAUUGAACAUGUCGAGUUCAGCUACAAAAUGUAAUGAAAAUUGAAAACGUGUUCUUUGGUGCUACUGCUCAUAUGAGGGAUAAUUUUUCUUUUAUUUUAUAAUAAAUCUUCUAAAGAAUGCCUCAAGUUAUAACGAAUUCCUAAAAAUGAUAAUGAUCAUGUAAUCAAAUUCACUGUCUCUUGAUUGGAACUGAAAAACCCAGGGACUAUUUUGAUACUGAUUACUUGCUUUUUUCUCUUUUGCUCUCUGAAUUUUAUUGAAAAUCAAAUGUUACUCAGAAAUUCU
rnacentral:misc_RNA from 1 species